rnacentral:rRNA from 1 species
UACAGGGGGUGCAAACGUUGCUCGGAAUCAUUGGGCGUAAAGAGCGUGUAGGCGGCCUGGUAGGUCCGCUGUGAAAGUCCAGGGCUCAACCCUGGAAUGCCGGUGGAAACUGUCAGGCUCGAGUCCGGAAGAGGCGAGUGGAAUUCCUGGUGUAGCGGUGAAAUGCGCAGAUAUCAGGAGGAACACCAAUGGCGAAGGCAGCUCGCUGGGACGGUACUGACGCUGAGACGCGAAAGCGUGGGGAGCGAACAGG